UGAAUUUUUCAAAAUGCAGAUCUCAGAGAAGGAUUUAGCAAGUGUGUGUCAAUGAUGCUUUGAAGAUUCGUUUUACUCAGCGAUGAGUGAAGUGGCGGGACGGUCCAGUUGACUUAAUGAGCACUUGAGGAACAGAGAUUUAUUCAGCCCAUGGGAGAAAUGGUGCUGGGAUACACUUGCUUGCAGAUAGAUCUGAAGAGGUCUAGACGAGCCCCCGGGGCACACGGAGGAAAAUGCCCCCCAUUUGUUCCCUCCCUAGUCCACGCCUGCCCUCGAACACCUGUGUAUCCCAGGACGGGGACCAUGACGUGGAUGAAGCAGGCAGUCCCCAAGCUUCUGGAGCGUGAGCCCAG
rnacentral:lncRNA from 1 species